CGCGACAGGACGGAAAGACCCCAUGGCGCUUUACUGUAGCUUGACAUUGGGUCUUGGUACUACAUGUCCCGGAUAGGUGGGCGGCUUUGAAACCAGGACGCCAGCUUUGGCGGAGCCAUCCUUUGGAUAUCAACCUUGUAGUACUGGGACUCUAACCAUAGGCCAGGUAUCUGGUCUUGGGACACUGGCAGGGGGGCAGUUUGACUGGGGAGUUCGCUAUCCCAAAGGUAACUAAGACGCUCACAGGUACUCCCAGUUCGCUCUUUAUUCGUACGAAAAGUGUAAAUGCACAAGAAAGGUUGGUUGAAAGACAUACAAAGCCUGCAAGGGUGAUAGUCAUAGUUUUUUGUGCGGUGUUUCCACCUUGAAGAGCAAUCGCGCUCCCUAUAAAAGCUACCAUGGGGAUCACAUGCAUAUCUCAACCAUGA
rnacentral:rRNA from 1 species